UCUCAAAGUGAAAGGACCAGUUCGAAU
rnacentral:piRNA from 1 species